rnacentral:rRNA from 1 species
UUCUUUUUGAAUAUAAAAAAAGUAAAGCCUGCCCAAUGAAAAUUAAAUGGCUGCGCUAGUACAAAGGUAGCAUAAUUAAUUGUCUUUUAAUUGGAGACUUGUCUGAAUGGUUUAAUGAUAGAAAAGAUAUUAUAUUUGUUUUAAAUGAAUUUUUUUCUUAUAGUAAAAAAACAUAAAUUAUAUAAAAAGACGAUAAGACCCCAUAUGAGCUUUACAAAUAAAAAAUAAUAUUUGUUUUUGCGGGGCACAAAAAAAUAUUUUAUUUUUUAUUAGUUCCUUUUUUAGAAAAAGAAAAAAGUUACCUUGGGGAUAACAGAGUAAUAUUCUUUAUAGUUCUUAUAAAAAAGAAUGUUUGCCACCUCGAUGUUGAAUCAAAAAUUCUUAUAAAAUGAAACAAUUUUUAUAGAAGGUCUGUUCUACCUUUAAAUUUUUACG